rnacentral:tRNA from 2 species
GCCAACGUAGCUCAGUUGGUAGAGCUACUGAUUUGUAAUCAGUGGGUCGGGGGUUCGAGUCCCUCCGUUGGCUCCA